UCGAACGUUGGAGGGGGGAAGACGUCGAGUGGGGACUGUCGCUGGCCACAAGUGAUUUUGGGGCAUGUUGCACGUCUUUGCUUUUCGUCGACCCUUUCUCUUGCUAUACACACCUGUGCACCCAUUGUAGGCCCUCGCAAGAGGAUCUACGUUUUCUUUAUUACACCGCAUGUCUAUAGAAUGUAUUGGGAAUUUGGGAAAUAUGAAUCAUA
rnacentral:misc_RNA from 1 species